CCGCCAGGACCGGAAAUGACUCUGUUUAGUUCCCUUCUUCCCGUGGUCCGGGCGGGAAGUGACGCGCACGGCCCGGGAGCUGCAGACGCGGAGGCCGACGAAGCCGGAGUCGCGGACACCGCGGGGUCUCCGGGACAGUCAGCCACACUGGACCUGAAAUCGAAGGAGGAGAAGGAUGCUGAGCUGGACAAGAGGAUCGAGGCUCUUCGGCGGAAGAACGAGGCCCUCAUCCGGCGCUACCAGGAGAUUGAGGAGGACCGUAAAAAAGCUGAACUCGAGGGAGUAGCCGUGACAGCUCCCCGGAAGGGCCGCUCGGUGGAGAAGGAGAAUGUGGCAGUUGAAUUGGAGAAGAACCUGGGUCCCUCCCGGAGGUCCCCUGGAACCCCUCGGCCCCCAGGGGCCGGCAAGGGAGGCCGGACCCCUCCGCGGCAGGGAGGCCGGUCCAGCAUGGGCCGGGCAGCCCGCAGCUGGGAGGAAAGUCCUGGGGAGCAGCCUCGACGAGGAGCUGGGGGCCGUGGCCGGAGGGGUCGGAGCAGGGGGUCCCCUCAUCUGUCUGGAGCUGGAGACACCUCAACUGCUGACCGCAAAUCCAAGGAGUGGGAGGAGCGGCGCAGGCAGAACAUUGAGAAGAUGAACGAGGAGAUGGAGAAGAUUGCAGAGUAUGAGCGCAACCAGCGGGAAGGCGUGCUGGAGCCCAACCCGGUGCGGAACUUCCUGGACGACCCCCGGCGACGCAGCGGGCCCUUGGAGGAGCCUGAGCGGGACCGCCGGGAAGGCAGCCGGCGGCAUGGGCGCAACUGGGGGGGGCCCGACUUCGAGCGGGUGCGCUGUGGCCUCGAGCAGGAGCGGCAGGGCCGCAGAGCCGGCCUGGGUGGCACUGGGGACAUGACACUCUCCAUGACGGGCCGCGAGCGGUCAGAGUACCUGCGCUGGAAGCAGGAGAGGGAGAAGAUCGACCAGGAGCGGCUGCAGAGGCACCGCAAGCCCACGGGCCAGUGGCGGCGGGAGUGGGAUGCUGAGAAGACUGAUGGCAUGUUCAAGGAUGGCCCGGCCACUGCCCUCGAGUCAUCGCACCGCUACGAUGAUCAGGCCUGGGCCCGGCCCCCCAAGCCCCCCACUUUCAGGGAGUUCCUGUCCCAGCACAAAGCUGAGGUCAGCCGCAGAAGGAGGAAGAGCAGCCGACCCCAGGCCAAGGCAGCCCCCCGUACCUACAGUGACCAUGAUGACCGCUGGGAGACGAAGGAGGUAGCGGCCCCUGCGCCUGAGCCCCCACAGCCUGCUCCCCCGGAGGAGAUGCCCAUGCAGCUGCCCGAGACCCCAGCCCAGGACUGCCAGCCUCCUGAGGACGAGGGGGAGGAGGGCGAGGGGGAGGACGAGGAUGAGGAGUGGGAAGACGUGAGUGGGGACGAGGAGGAGGUCGAAGAAGAAGAGGAGGAGGCUGAUGAGGAGGAAGAAGAACCAGCCCCAGACCACCCACCCCAAGAGGCUGAGCCCAGCAGGAGCCCCCCCCUGGAGUGUGGUGUCGAAGAGCCCACCAGGCCUGAGGAGCCCCAGCUGCUUCCCCAAGCCCCUGCCACGCCUGCUAGCCCCUUCUCGCCCCCCGGGGGCCACCAGCCCGUGUCAGACUGGGGUGAAGAGAUGGAGCUGAAUUCUCCCCGGACCGCCCACUCGGCCGAUGCCCUCUCUCCGGGAGGUGACCAGCCAGCCCCUGCCUCCCUGGAGAGUGGGCCCAGCCUCCCAGGAGCCCAGAAAACUGAAGAGGAGGGGUCUGAGGCAGCUCCAGAGGCGGCCCCCGAGGGCCCAGAGACGGCAGAGAUCACCGACUUCCAGAGGGCCUCCCUGAACUCCUGAAGACGCUGCUGGGAGGGGACUGAAGCUUCCCCGCCUUGAUAGGGAGGGGGCGGCAGGACGGGGUUAGUCUGGAUCUCCAGGCUGUGUUCGCUCUUCCCCGGAGCCCACUCUGGACCCCAUGGCUUUAGACAGAGGGUGAAAUUGAGGGUGGUGGGGAGGAGCUGGGGAAGGGGGUGUGGCUGGGGUGUGGGGCGUAGUUGGAACUUCGGGGCGAUAGACCUCAGGACACAAAGUAUGGAGGAGGAGGCAGGUCCCGUGAGGGGCGUGGUUAGGGUGCCUGGGCGGGGCCAGAAUUCGAGUGGACUGAGUUAAAACAUGGGACGGUGUUAGGGUGUGGGAUGGAACCACAAGAGCAGAUUUAGGUGGGAAUCCCUAACGCUGUUAGGGGGCGCAGACAGCGGCGGAGGGCGUGGUUUAUAAUACAGUGUUCAAACCAGUGGCGUGAGGAGAAAAGAGGUGGGGCCUGGACUGGAGAUGGAGGAUAAUCGAAUGCUGGAGUAGAGUUUGACUUGGAGAAGGCAAGUUAGAAUUGGGGCAGGACUGCGGCUGAGGGGCAGGACUUAAACAAGGCCUGAGCUUGGGCAAGAGAGUGGCGGAGCUAUAUGCCUGGAAGAAGUCUGAGUUCUGAAAGGGGACGGGGUUAGGACGCGGGCAGAAGGACAGGGAAAGAGGAGAGUGGAGCUACGCGCUGGGGCACGUAUGACACCAAGCCUGGCAGGAGUCGGCUGGGCCGGACCCUGCAUUUGAGAAAAAUCGAGGAUGGACCGCCGGCCAGCUCCUCCACCGCGGAUGCGUCUUUCGGGAUUGGGCUCUGGCUCCUCUUCGUGACAUCGCCUAGCGUCUCCGGAGCCAUCAUCCUGAAGAAUGGGGGGCAAAGGGGAGCUGAUUCUGGGCCUCGCCCCUUGCAGCUCCUCCGCUGUCAGGCCGGGUCCUCUUCCAUCUGGCAGACCCCAUCCUGACCUCUUCCUCCUGAUCCUCCCUCAGGAUUCUGAGCACAGAGCCCUCAGCCCGCCCCGCCUCCUCCCUGAAUCUCCGUGUUCAUAUGUCCGCCUGCAAUAAACUCCAGCCCCAACUGC